UGAACGCUAGCUACAGGCUUAACACAUGCAAGUCGAGGGGCAGCAUGGUCUUAGCUUGCUAAGGCCGAUGGCGACCGGCGCACGGGUGAGUAACACGUAUCCAACCUGCCGUCUACUCUUGGACAGCCUUCUGAAAGGAAGAUUAAUACAAGAUGGCAUCAUGAGUCCGCAUGUUCACAUGAUUAAAGGUAUUCCGGUAGACGAUGGGGAUGCGUUCCAUUAGAUAGUAGGCGGGGUAACGGCCCACCUAGUCUUCGAUGGAUAGGGGUUCUGAGAGGAAGGUCCCCCACAUUGGAACUGAGACACGGUCCAAACUCCUACGGGAGGCAGCAGUGAGGAAUAUUGGUCAAUGGGCGAGAGCCUGAACCAGCCAAGUAGCGUGAAGGAUGACUGCCCUAUGGGUUGUAAACUUCUUUUAUAAAGGAAUAAAGUCGGGUAUGGAUACCCGUUUGCAUGUACUUUAUGAAUAAGGAUCGGCUAACUCCGUGCCAGCAGCCGCGGUAAUACGGAGGAUCCGAGCGUUAUCCGGAUUUAUUGGGUUUAAAGGGAGCGUAGAUGGAUGUUUAAGUCAGUUGUGAAAGUUUGCGGCUCAACCGUAAAAUUGCAGUUGAUACUGGAUAUCUUGAGUGCAGUUGAGGCAGGCGGAAUUCGUGGUGUAGCGGUGAAAUGCUUAGAUAUCACGAAGAACUCCGAUUGCGAAGGCAGCCUGCUAAGCUGCAACUGACAUUGAGGCUCGAAAGUGUGGGUAUCAAACAGGAUUAGAUACCCUGGUAGUCCACACGGUAAACGAUGAAUACUCGCUGUUUGCGAUAUACAGCAAGCGGCCAAGCGAAAGCGUUAAGUAUUCCACCUGGGGAGUACGCCGGCAACGGUGAAACUCAAAGGAAUUGACGGGGGCCCGCACAAGCGGAGGAACAUGUGGUUUAAUUCGAUGAUACGCGAGGAACCUUACCCGGGCUUAAAUUGCAGAUGAAUUACGGUGAAAGCCGUAAGCCGCAAGGCAUCUGUGAAGGUGCUGCAUGGUUGUCGUCAGCUCGUGCCGUGAGGUGUCGGCUUAAGUGCCAUAACGAGCGCAACCCUUGUUGUCAGUUACUAACAGGUUCUGCUGAGGACUCUGACAAGACUGCCAUCGUAAGAUGUGAGGAAGGUGGGGAUGACGUCAAAUCAGCACGGCCCUUACGUCCGGGGCUACACACGUGUUACAAUGGGGGGUACAGAGGGCCGCUACCACGCGAGUGGAUGCCAAUCCCCAAAACCUCUCUCAGUUCGGACUGGAGUCUGCAACCCGACUCCACGAAGCUGGAUUCGCUAGUAAUCGCGCAUCAGCCACGGCGCGGUGAAUACGUUCCCGGGCCUUGUACACACCGCCUGUCAAGCCAUGGGAGCCGGGGGUACCUGAAGUGCGUAACCGCGAGGAGCGCCCUAGGGUAAAACUGGUGACUGGGGCUAAG
rnacentral:rRNA from 1 species